rnacentral:rRNA from 1 species
UACGGGGGGGGGCAAGCGUUGUUCGGAAUUACUGGGCGUAAAGGGCUCGUAGGCGGCCAACUAAGUCAGACGUGAAAUCCCUCGGCUUAACCGGGGAACUGCGUCUGAUACUGGAUGGCUUGAAUCCGGGAGAGGGAUGCGGAAUUCCAGGUGUAGCGGUGAAAUGCGUAGAUAUCUGGAGGAACACCGGUGGCGAAGGCGGCAUCCUGGACCGAGAUUGACGCUGAGGCGCGAAAGCCAGGGGAGCAAACGGG